UACAGAGGUCUCAAGCGUUGUUCGGAUUCAUUGGGCGCAAAGGGUGCGUAGGCGGUGAGGCAAGUCUGGUGUGAAAUCCCGGAGCUCAACUCUGGAACUGCACUGGAUACUGCUUUACUAGAGCACUGGAGAGGGAACUGGAAUUUACGGUGUAGCAGUGAAAUGCGCAGAUAUCAGGAAGAACACCCGUGGCGAAGGCGGUUCUCUGGGACGGUACUGACGCUGAGACGCGAAAGCGUGGGGAGCGAACAGG
rnacentral:rRNA from 1 species